rnacentral:rRNA from 1 species
AUUGAGCGCUGGCGGCAUGCCCUACACAUGCAAGUCGAACGGCAGCACGGGAGCAAUCCUGGUGGCGAGUGGCGAACGGGUGAGUAAAGUAUCGGAACGUGCCCAGUCGUGGGGGAUAACGUAGCGAAAGUUACGCUAAUACCGCAUACGAUCUAUGAAUAAAAGCGGGGGAUCGCAAGACCUCGCGCGAUUGGAGCGGCCGAUAUCAGAUGAGGUAGUUGGUGGGGUAAAGGCUCACCAAGCCGACGAUCUGUAGCUGGUCUGAGAGGACGACCAGCCACACUGGGACUGAGACACGGCCCAGACUCCUACGGGAGGCAGCAGUGGGGAAUUUUGGACAAUGGGCGAAAGCCUGAUCCAGCCAUGCCGCGUGCAGGAUGAAGGCCUUCGGGUUGUAAACUGCUUUUGUACGGAACGAAAAGGUUUGGGCUAAUAAGCUGAGCUCAUGACGGUACCGUAAGAAUAAGCACCGGCUAACUACGUGCCAGCAGCCGCCGUAA